UACGUUCCCGGGCCUUGUACACACCGCCCGUCACACCACGAAAGUUGGUAACACCCGAAGCCGGUGGCCCAACCCGUAAGGGAGGGAGCCGUCGAAGGUGGGAUCAGCGAUUGGGUG
rnacentral:rRNA from 1 species